AUUUCUCUUUUAUGUUUUCGCAACCUACUAAACAAGUCUUGGAGAGAAUUAAAUCUCAAAUUUAGAAAUUAACUCAAUUGAAAUCUUUAUUAUUUUAAAAUUCUACCAUCCAUUUAAUAUGAAUAAUAUCUCACUUUAAUUUUGCCCCUCUCUCAACACCAUUUCAGUGUAAUGUAAAUAAGAUGAUAACAUAAAUAACAAAAUAUAACUUCAUAUAUAAAGAGUGCUAUUUUUAGAAGGAUAAUAAAUUAAUAAUGGUGUAUUUAUUUUUUUGGGUUAGACAUAUAAAAAAAAAACCUUCUAUUAAUUGGACAAUACAGUUUGUACACUUACCUUAUGUUUUUCAUUUCUUUAGCCAUGAUUAAUAAGUAAUGAAUUAUUUCUAAUUUUAAUUCCUUCUACACUAAUAUAAUUUCUUGUUUAAUUGAUCAUGAAAGGUUUCUUUGAUCUCAAGAACUUGGAAUACUUGGAUUUGAGUUCCAGUACUCUUGAUAAUAGCAUCUUCCAAGUCAUCGGAACGAUGACCUCUCUUAAAACUUUAAUGUUGCAGAGUUGUAAUUUCAAUGGCCAAUUACGUACAACCCAAG
rnacentral:lncRNA from 1 species